GCCCAAGACAGCUCAGAGGGCUGCGGGGUUGGGCCACGGAGCUCUCCAGCUGACACAAUGCCAGCUACGGGGUACAUCCUGCUAGAGCAGCUAGACACAAAGGGCUGGGGAGGAGGGGCAGCAGCCUGGGGAUUCUGGCACCAGGACCAAUGACACAAGGCGCAGAAGACACGCCACAGUAUGCUGGCUGCAAGGCUCCCCUAAUGAGAGGCAUCAGUUUCCCUAAGCGUGGGUUCUUUGGAGAUACUUCGGACCAUCCCCCAAAGCAUGCGCGGACUCCAGAGAUAGGGUCUCUGGCUGAUCAGUGGGAGCCGGUGUAUAAAAGCUGUGAACGACUGGGAACUACGGUUGGGCAGGAGUGCAGAAUGGAAUGCUCUCCCCUCAAGGUGGCCUUCCAGAAAGAAAUGCAUAAACUAUGAUAAGUCAAUGCACUUGAAAGCAAGGACACGCAUGAAGGGAAUGCCCUGGUAUGUCCCAUGAUCUCUGUGGGAAAGGCAAAGGCCUGGAAGGAAUGUACUUGGUUCUUUUCUCAUGACCAAAGGUGAUAAGACAUAACGCCAGGUGUAUUCCCUCACUGUACUUGUAUUUGCUUAAGCUAACUGUACACAUCACCACAUGUUUUGCUUGCUUUAAUAAUAAAAUGAGAAGUGCUUUGUUUGCACUUCUCUUGAGCUCAAACACUUGUGUGCCCCCCUUUAUCUGCAGAGACUGAACCUCGAUGGCAAGAGAGGGUUGACACUAAACCUAGAGCUAGGCUGCCACUCAUCAAAUGCCAGCGCUCCUCCUGUUUUUGUCCCCACAGCUCUGCAGUGCAGGCACACGUGUGAUCACACCUGGCUUUCUAUGUCGGUUAUAGGGAUUUGAACUCAGAUCUUCGAGCUUGCCCAGCAAGUGCUGUUACCAAUUAAGGCAUCUCUCAAACCCCAUUUUUGUACUUCCUUGUAGUCCCCUUAGUCACAAAUUAAGUCUGGGGACAUAGGUUGGUAGUAGAGGUCUUAGUAUGCUUGAGGCCCUAGGGUCAAUCCUCAGCACUCUGGGGGACAGGAGCAGAAAAGUCUUUGAGAUCCAUCAUGUCAUAUGCAGCCAUAAUUGUUUUCAUUCUCAGGGCCAUACAGCAUUUCAGGCUGGGAUGAAGUCACGAUUUACACGCUCAUUCCCUUUUCUGUGGAUGGGUGGACAGGUACCAGUUUGGACUAUGACAAACAUUCUAUGCACUCUAGUAUUUGCACGAACAUUUGCACAUGACUUUCUGAGGUAGAUACCUAAGAAUGCAGCUGGGCUGUGGCGUGCUCUGCUUCCGGAGUGGCUGCCAAUGCCUUCUGAAAGAAGCCUUCAGUUUCCACUCCCAUCAGCAGGAUACAGGGAGUCAAGACACUUUCGAAUCAAAUGACAUGGCUGAUCCCACCACAGGCAGCACUCUGGUAAGUGCAACUACAGCUUUGAGAUAUAGCCAGACAUCUCAAAAAAUUGAAAGACAGAUUUCACUGGCUACCAGAAAUCUUUUGUUUCAUUACAAUAAACAAACAAAACCAAAAUGAAACAAAACAACUACAGCAAAAACCA